AGACGUAAAACUUCAUCUUAUACGUAUUGUGGAUCCACUGACUUGUUGGAGAUUGACAAGAGGCUUGGCUUGUUCCAAGAAAAAGACCCAUUUUCUGUCCGCACUGCCAGUCGUUUGUUUCAAGGAAACAAGGAAUCCGUCUCGAAUGGACGGCAGUUUUUCAUCAGGAUGAUGCACAGUCUGUGUGGGACGAUGAGGAUGGCAACGAUGUUGUCCCAGACAUCAACCAGGACUCCUCACAUUCACCAACAGAUAUCUUAAGUAGAGCAUACACCAUCUGUUUGCUGUUGUGGACUGGUUCAAGCCUUGUUGUCAUCAACUUGGUUAUAUUUCCCCUUUCUCUGUGUGGCAAAACAAAUGUCUCAACUCAGGUUCUGCUUCAUGUGUACCAGAUCAGUGGACUGCUGCCUACUCAGUAUGAGUGCAACAGAAGCUUCAUGAUUGUC